AUUGAACGCUGGCGGCAUGCCUUACACAUGCAAGUCGAACGGUAACAGGUCUUCGGAUGCUGACGAGUGGCGAACGGGUGAGUAAUACAUCGGAACGUGCCUAGUAGUGGGGGAUAACUACUCGAAAGAGUGGCUAAUACCGCAUGAGAUCUACGGAUGAAAGCAGGGGAUCGCAAGACCUUGUGCUACUAGAGCGGCCGAUGGCAGAUUAGGUAGUUGGUGGGAUAAAAGCUUACCAAGCCGACGAUCUGUAGCUGGUCUGAGAGGACGAUCAGCCACACUGGGACUGAGACACGGCCCAGACUCCUACGGGAGGCAGCAGUGGGGAAUUUUGGACAAUGGGCGAAAGCCUGAUCCAGCCAUGCCGCGUGCAGGAUGAGGGCCUUCGGGUUGUAAACUGCUUUUGUACGGAACGAAAGGACUCUGGUUAAUACCUGGGGUCCAUGACGGUACCGUAAGAAUAAGCACCGGCUAACUACGUGCCAGCCGCCGCAGUAA
rnacentral:rRNA from 1 species